GUUUUAGUUACUUAUGAUAAUGGGGCAUUAAAGUAUACAACCACUAUUUGAUAAUGGUUCAAUUGAGAGUUUUUGUUUAGCUCUUCGUAUAUUUUGGUAUUAAAGUAUAUGAUUGUACUUUGUUAUGGCAGGUAUACUUUAUUUUGGAUAAUGCUACUACUUAGCAAUCAUUCAGCUACUAUGUGGAGUCAGGAGAUGUCAAAAUUAACUUUCAAUAUGGAGCUUGAUGCUGCCAAUGCAACUUAGUUAUCUAUUAAUAUUUUAGAUUAUUCUAUCUUUAAGUGCUAAGUGUAAUUUGUGACAUUCAUGUAAUAUUGGGAUGGUCAUCUUAUUUAUUUUUGGUAUUUUUUUAUUAAGACAAUGAGAUAUUGGCCAAUGAUGUUGAAAAAUAACAUCCAAUUUUAUAGGUAUCAUGUAAUGAAUAUUAUGUUUAUUUAUGUGAUUUUUGGCUUUCUUUUUUCAA